rnacentral:rRNA from 1 species
UGGGGAAUCUUGCGCAAUGGGGGAAACCCUGACGCAUNAACAGCCGCGUGGGUGAUGAAGGCUUUCGGGUCGUAAAGCCCUGUCAGGUGGGAAGAAACAUGCCGAUGCAAAUAACAUCGGUAUUUGACGGUACUACCGAAGGAAGCACCGGCUAACACCGUGCCAACAGCCGCG